AAAGUGAAAUGGAUCAUAUAGGAAGGAUCCAAAGAAAUCCAUAAAAGGGAGAGACCUCCCUGAGAAAACCAAUUCCAUUUAAGACAGUCUGUUCAGUUUUGCAUGCCUGAAACUAUAGAAAAUAGAUUUUCUUGUCCUUAGUUUUUGAAGCAGACCAUACAUAUUAGUGGCUUGUAGUAACAGUUAAUUAGGUGGCUCAUGAAAGCUGGAGAUGGAUCCUGGAUCCUUUACACAUUUUCGAUGCUUGCUAAGUAAACAUUAAUUGUAAAAAUGAAUGGUG
rnacentral:lncRNA from 10 species